rnacentral:rRNA from 1 species
GGGGGGGGGGCAAGCGUUGUUCGGAAUUACUGGCGUAAAGGGCUCGUAGGUGGCCAACUAAGUCAAACGUGAAAUCCCCAGGCUUAACCUGGGAACUGCGUCUGAUACUGGAUGGCUUGAAAUCGGGAGAGGGAUGCAAAAUUCCAGGUGUAGCGGUGAAAUGCGUAAAUAUCUGGAGGAAUACCGGUGGCGAAGGCGGCAUCCUGGACCGACAUUGACGCUGAGGAGCGAAAGCUAGGGGAGCAAACGGGAUUAAAUACCCCGGUAGUCCUAGCCCUAAACGAUGAAUGCUUGGUGUGGCGGGUAUCGAUCCCUGCCGUGCCGAAGCUAACGCAUUAAGCAUUCCGCCUGGGGAGUACGGUCGCAAGGCUG